UCUAUCCCGGCCUGCUGUUUUUUGCGCACGGAAACAAAAGGCAGACAGCAGCGACCGCUUUCCCACACACGAUAACGCCAGGAGGAUCCGCUCCUUUUAAGGCUAUUUGCAACGGUGGCCCCUAAACCACCCUGAACCGCUACAGUACCAGUUUUCCCUCCAAAAAUCAUCCGCAGCGGCAGCCGGGAUCUCAUCCUCCAAAGUCCAGGGACGCCGUCCCCUCCCCCAAAUUUUGGGGAGUCCUUCUCCUCCGCUACCUUCCCUCGUCGCCGCAACCCCCUCGUCGCCGCCUCCCUCUGGCCGUCGCCGCCUCCCCCUCCUCGCCAUCUCCCUCUUGCCGUCGCUGCCUCUCCCUCCUCGCCACUUCCCUCUCGCCGUCGCCGCCUCCCCCACGUCCUCCAUCCGCGCCGGCCCAGCAUCGCCCCGCGCCGUGCCGCUCCAUCCAUGUCCCGCCGGCACCACCAGCCGCGCCCGUCCCCGAUAGCGACGCGCACCCACCACGGCAGCAUCUCUGGAGAGCACCGGAUCGGCCCAAUCGCCUCCAAAAUAGCCAUUUUUGGUGCUUUUGCAGUAGAUGCAAUAGUCCUGUAGUGGACACAUUUCGACAUCGGAUGCCUUAAAUCAUAUCAAGGCUCAACAGAUACAAUUCCAAAUGCGGCAGCCAUCCGACGAGGACCCAAAAAUCCAUUAUGAGUCGUUGGGAUCACAUCAAGGCUGAAGUAAGCAAGUUCUCUGGAUACAUGGCUGAGAUGAUCCGUUCUAAUCCUAGUGGCAUGUCGGAUGCAGAUAAGUCAGUGGCUGCUGCUGCUGAUUUUGCUAGUGUGGAGAAGCACAAUUUCACGCUCAUGCACUGCUGGCAAAUCCUGAAGGAUGAGCCCAAAUGGAUGGAGCUUAAAAGGAAAAUGGACACCGCUCAAAAUAGUGGUUCCAGGGAAAAUGUCCCACCCAGUGUGCAGCGAGACAUUUUCGAUCUUCAUCCCGAAAAGUCCUCAUCAACCAGCCCAUCAAGAAAACGUCCCAUGGGGAGGGACACAUCAAAAGAGGCUAAGAAGAAAGCUGCUUUAGCGUCCUCUGAGUAAAUGUCCAAGAUGCAUGACCUAUCUAUUCUGAAGAUUGAGUUGUUCAAGGAAACAGAGGGUGAGCGCAAGGCCCGGCUAGAUGAAAUUGUUACUAUAGAGAAAGUGAAGGUAGAGGAAGCUCGCGAGCACUGCAAGAUGAUGCUGGACAUAGAGAGGGAAAGGUUGGCUCUGGAUAAGCAACGGCUUCAAAACGAGGCUGAAAAGAAAGAGAAGGAAGAGGACGAGCGCAUUUUAGCCAUUUACCUUGAUCAGUGUCUACCCAUGCAACGAAUGUACUAUCAAGUGCUACAAGAAGAUAUAAUUCAGAAGUUGAUGUCUCGACGUCAUGGACCAACUCAGUGAGGAAGUUGGUGGCAAAUCAUGUCAGUGAGGUCUAUGUAAUCUGGGAUCUUGUGCUUGAAAUGAGAGUUUCAUUUCAGCUGGUUGUGUUAAGACUUGUGACUUUCAGUCUAUAUAUCUGCUGUAAUGUUAUCUGGGAUUAUGGUUCAUAAUAAUAUUGUCUCUGUACUUAUAUUUGAGAACACAGUUUAUGUACUUAUAUUUGAGAACACA